UUGUAGUCAAAAAAGAUAAUUGAAAUUAUUUCAGUCUUCUUAAAUUUGUCAGAACUUGUUUUGUGACCUUGCAUGUAAUCUAUCUUGGAGAAUCUUUCAUGUGCAGUUGAGAGGAAUUUUUAUUCUGCUGCCGUUAGGUAGAAGGUUCCGUACAUGUCUGUUAGCUCCAUUUGGCCUAUAGUGUUAUUCAAAACCACUGUUUCUUUAUUUCUCUAAUGUCUGGAUGAACUAUUAUUGAAAGUGGGGUAUUGAAGUCUCCUAAUACAUUCUACUCCUAUUUCUCCCUUCAUAUUUAUCAAUGUGUGCUUUAUAUAUAUAGGCGCUCUGAUGUUGGGUGCAUAUAUAAUUGUUACGUCUUCCUGUUGAAUUGACCCUUUUAUCAUUAUGUAAUGACCUUCUUUGUCUCUUGUGACAGUUUUUGACUUGAAGUCUUUUUGUCUAAUAUAAGAAAAGCUGCUUACGCUCUGUUUUGGUGACCAUUUGCAUGAUAUAUCUUGUUUCAUCCCUUCACUUUCAGCCUACGUGUGUCCUUAAAGCUAAAGUGAGUCUUUUGUAGACACCCUAUAAUUAGAUCUUGCUUUUUAAUCCAUUCAGCUACUCUGUAUCUUUGAUUGGGGAAUUUAAUACAUUUACAUUUAAAGAAAUUAUUGAUUGGUAAGAACUGACUACUGCCAUUUUGUUCAUUGGUUUCUGUUUUGUGGUUCUUUUGUUCCUCUCUUCCCCUCUUGCUGUCUUUGUGAUUUGAUAAUUUUUUAUGGUUAUAUACUCGGAUUCUUUUCCCUUUCUUGUAUCUGCUGAAGAUUUUUUCUUUGUAGUUACUGUGAAGCUUGCAUAACCCUCCUUAGAAUUGUACCAGUCUAUUUUGAGCUGAUAACUUCAAUCACAUACAAAAACUACACUUUUACUCUCCCAUUCCCCAGUUUGUUAUUGAUGUCAGAAUUUGCUUUUUAUGUUGUGUAUCCAUUAACCAAUAUUUUGUGGUUAUAUUCUUAAUACUUUUGUCUUUUAUGCUGGGGUUAAAAGUGAUUUAUGCACCACCAUUACAAUAUUACAUUAUUCUGUAUUUGUCUAUGUAUUUACCCUUAGCAGUGAGAUUUAUACUUUCAUAUGCUUUUGUGUUGCUAUUUAGCAAGAAGCUGAUUUUUUUAUUAAUACAAAUUAUGUACUUUUUUCAAAAUAAAGAAUUUGUUGUAUGUAUGUAUUACACACAGAUUUCCAAACCAGAUAACCCAGUGUUGGCCAAUCGCAGUAAUCAAAACUACAAAUUUAAUUUCAUAAUUUUUAGCUCCUUGCAGCUGCUGCUGUCAGACAACCCUCAGCUGGGUGGUGUCAGGAUUGGUAGCAUUUUCAAAUAAAACAAGAAAUUUAACAUCAAUAGGUACCAGCAAGAAGUGUUUAUUUCUUCAUGAGGGUGUUGUGUACUUCGGGGGAAUAAGACCAAUUUUCAUUUUGGUAGUUAAAUGGGUUGCAUUUGAAACCUUUGCUGUGAGGCACCAUAUUUCCAAUGAGUGAAGUUUUAGACUCUUUACAUUUGGUACCACAAGUACCAUUAAUGGGGUUGUGGCUGGGCAGUAUAGUCAAGUGAUUCUCUGAAGGCAGAAAUAAAUAAGCAGAUCGUUUACUUUUUCAGUAUAACUCCACUUGUUAGGCUUUUAGCCUCUUCUUUCAACAUAGGUUUAAUAAAUAGGGAAUAAUCUUAACUAGCCACCACUGCCAGGUGGUGCUACUUCCCUUUCUGCUGUUUCAUGAUCCCACCACACUGUGUUAAUCCUCACCAGUGGUUGUCCUGUGAUUGGCUGCUGUAUUAUAGGCUGCGGUAAGCAGAAUAGUGACUCCCGAACCACGACCCCCAAACACGCAAAGAUGUCUACGUCCUAAUCCUUGGAAACUGUAAAAAUGUAACUUUACAUGGCAAAGGGGAAUUAAGAUUCCAGAUAGAAUUCAGUUUGCUAAUCAGCUGAUCUUAAAACAGGGAGAGUAUCCUGGGUUAUCUACAUGCACCCAAUGUAAUCAUGGAGUUUCUUAAAAGUGGGAGAGGGAGGCAGAAGAGAAGGCUGGAGUGACAAGAUUUGAGGACUGAGUCCAUUAUUGCUGAUUUUGAAGACGGAGGAAGGGCACGGUGAGCCAACAAAUGCAGGCAGCCUUUAGAAGCUGGAAAAGGCAAGGAAACAGUCUCCUAGAGUCUCCAGGAUGAAAUGUCGACCUACCAACACCUUCAUUUUAGCCCAGUGAGACCCAUCUAGGACUGCUGACCUCUAGAACUGUCCAAAAGCAGUAUGUGUUCUUCUUGACGCAGACACCAGAGAACUAAAAGAAGUUUGCUGCCCUCCUCACUUCCAUCCAACACACAAAGAAAUGUGCAGAAGUCACCAGAGAUCGAGAAGAAAGGACGUCUAAAAGUCACCACAGAAGAAUAUGACCGUGAGCAGGGCCGUGGCCAGCUUCUGCCUUGGCUGUGCACACUGGGCAAGCAGGGGAGGGGGACUGGGCUGUUUGUCUUCAGCCGGGGGCCACCUUCAUUCUCUGUUACUAAUUCUGGACAGACCAAUUCUUGUCUCCUGUAUUUCAAAAAGUAAUUUUUUUUUUUUUUUUUUUUGAGACGGAGUCUUGCUCUGUCGCCCAGGCUGGAGUGCAGUGGCGUGAUCUUGACUCACUGCAAGCUCCGCCUCCCGGGUUCAUGCCAUUCUCCUGCCUCAGCCUCCCGAGUAGCUGGGACUACAGGCGCCCGCCACCACGCUUGGCUAAUUUUUUGGAUUUUUAGUAGAGACAGGGUUUCACCGUGUUACGAGGUCAGGAGAUCGAGACCAUCAAAAAGUAUUUUUGCCCAUACACAUUUCUUGAUACUCUGUAAAACAUUCUGGAAUUUUAAACCCUUGGUAUGUUGUUUCUUGCCUUUAAAAAGAGCAUUUAUGAACCAACAUACCUUUUAAAGGUCAUUGAUACCAUUUUUAACAAGGUUUUGUACUUUAUCAUUCUCAUUUAUCUUCCAUUUUCUAAUUUUUCUUUCAGUAUCUCUUUAUUUCCUUUUACUCCUAUCUGAAAAUUUAAUUUAUAUUAGAAACAUACUAGCUAUACAUGCUAAACUUAUUAAAUAUCUACUAGAAUUUUAGAGAUGGAAUAGUUCUUAGUCUGGUUCACCCUGAGUAUUUUGACUAUCUGAUAUAAAAGAAGCAACAGAUAGAAGGAGAAGAGUAGAUGAGGAAACAGCAGAUAAUGGCAUAAGUCAUGUUGUCAUCAUUGGGAAGGCUGGGAACAAGUCAAAUCCUUCUGCUGAAAAACUCUCCUAACCUACACACUCCCGAAGGCUUUGUGUGUAUGUGCAUAUUGGGAGGUAGGGGUGGUGGUCACUGUGGUGGGGCUGAUGCCGGAGAUGCCAUAUUUUUCCUUUGCGCUUCUCCCCACCCACCCUUGCCCCAGGGCUCUGCUUUGUGCUGAACACACAGUAGGUGGGACUUGUGAGCACUUGUAGUCAGCACUUGUUAUUUUCGGACUUGAUUAUCUAUCACUUUUCUCAGUAACUAUAGAACAUAGCCAAUAGGAGAUCAUCCUUACAGCCCCAAAGGGCAGAAAAUGAAGUUGACUUAAUCAUCCACUUGUUAGCGCACCUUACUCUAUGAACUCAAAAUGCAGUGGAGAGAAAAGGGAUGGAAGAAAUUUGUUCAUAAUGAGCAAGCUAGGAAGACUGCUGCAAGGUGACUUGAAUUUUUUAAUUUAAAUAUUUUAGACAUAAAAAAGUAUUUGAGGGGUUGAUAGCUUUGGAAGUUAAAGGCUGCUAUCAGCCUGACAGAGCAGUUCAAAAAAACAGCUUGAGGAUACCAAUCAUUUGCUUAUCUUUAUUUUAGUUUCCAAAAUUUCAGAUGGACUUUGUGAAUUGAGACUCUUAGAAAACUGCCAGUUUCUAUGUUUUGAUUUUCGUGAAAAUCAGAACCAAAGAGGAAAAGGUAAGUGAUAAUAUUUUUGGUUUAAGAAAUUAAACCAAAGUGUCAUGGUGCUACUGAGGUGCAGUUUCACAUUCUUUUUUCAGAAGAUGAGCCAAUAACAAAAUGACUCUGUUUUAUAGAAUAUUAUUUUCAGUAUUAGAUAUUACUAAUUAAGUAUUACACAAAGCUGUUUAGCAGAAAAAAUGUGAUUUUUCAGACAGCAGAAGUUGAGGAAGUCUGAGUUUCUGCGUUUUGACACUGACUGGGUAGGAGUUUCUUUGUCUAUAGAACAGGGAUUUGUAGAGGAAGACCUGGCUGCCUUGGUGAGUUACACCCUCUAAUCGUGAGCAUGACGUUGUGUAAAAGGAAAAUUGUCUUUAUUCUUAGGAUUUUUUUUUUCUUUUUUACCUUGUAAUUUAGCAUUAAAAACAGGGAGAGAACAUGCCAGUCGGAAUGGCUAUUAUUAAAAUGUCAAAAAACAACAGAUGCUGGCGAGGUUGCAGAGAA
rnacentral:lncRNA from 1 species